GACGAACGCUGGCGGCGUGCCUAAUACAUGCAAGUAGAACGCACAGUUUAUACCGUAGCUUGCUACACCAUAGACUGUGAGUUGCGAACGGGUGAGUAACGCGUAGGUAACCUGCCUGGUAGCGGGGGAUAACUAUUGGAAACGAUAGCUAAUACCGCAUAAUAUUAAUUAUUGCAUGAUAAUUAAUUGAAAGGUGCAAUUGCACCACUACCAGAUGGACCUGCGUUGUAUUAGCUAGUAGGUGAGGUAACGGCUCACCUAGGCGACGAUACAUAGCCGACCUGAGAGGGUGAUCGGCCACACUGGGACUGAGACACGGCCCAGACUCCUACGGGAGGCAGCAGUAGGGAAUCUUCGGCAAUGGACGAAAGUCUGAACGAGCAACGCCGCGUGAGUGAAGAAGGUUUUCGGAUCGUAAAGCUCUGUUGUAAGAGAAGAACGGGUGUGAGAGUGGAAAGUUCACACUGUGACGGUAUCUUACCAGAAAGGGACGGCUAACUACGU
rnacentral:rRNA from 1 species